rnacentral:lncRNA from 1 species
UUUGCUUUCAAGGGGUUGUUGAGAUCCCUUUUGGAUUCUUUGUUGGAGAUUAGGGUGGGAAAUAAGCAGGACUGCUGAGGAGUCUCGGCUGUCACUUUGGAAUAUGAAAACAGUCUGGCUUCAAGUAAACCCAGUUUGAGAUUCACGCUCCCUCCUCCCUGCGCUCCUCAGCCGUCUCCCAUAAUCACUGGUCCUGGAUGGGAAUUUGUGGGAGCUGGUUGGGCCCAAACUGCGAUUUCUCAUCCAAUGCAAUGGAAAAGCCAAAAUGAGAAGAGUAAAGUUUAAAUCAGACAAAUUGCACAAAGGUCCACGAAAAGCCACAAGGAGACCACGUGCCUUUCCGAAGGGUGACUCCAGGACAAGGGGAUGGCAGGCUCAACGAAGGUGUUCAUCUUUUAUCCCACUUUCAAUUGCGUAAGUCUCUGCCUGAUAAACAGAUGGACAGGUCUGCGAACCACCUGCACUGUACGUUCCCAUAAGGAGAUGCUCAAGGCUGCAUCUCCCAGGCUUCCCAGCUUGCCUGCAUCGUCCAGAACUACUUAUUGUUGUUACAGUACAGUAGUUAAUAACAUGGGCUCUGGAUUGCCAGAUCUGGUUUUGAAUCCAGUUCUGCCACUGACUAGCUAUGAGGUCUUGGACAAGCUGCUUUAUCUCUCUACGACCUAUCUGUAAAAUGGGUAUAGUAACAGUACCUAUGUAUCAGGAUUCCAACAGGAAAUAGAUGCUACACUCAGGUUGGGAUCAUUCAAACAAGGCUUAUUUACAAAAGGAGAAAUUUUAAGUGUGUGAAAGUGGUUUAGGGAACCACACAGGAGAAUGAGGUAACCCAGGUUAGUAGCACAGAGCUGUGACCACUCCUAAGCCAGUAGGAAAGAGGGGAGAGAAGUGACAGGACCCAAAGGGGGAGGAAUUGCUUGGGAAGUCCUCUUUGAGAACAGCUGUGACCUUAGUCCACCAGGAAUAACCUCACAGGGAGGGAAUCUGACCUUCCUUUCCUUUCUUUCUCCAAAAUCCUGCUUUCCUGAGGCACCCCGUUGGCCAAACCCAACUAGAAGCUAGAGGCUUGAGGGCAGGUGACAUAAUCUGUAUGGACCAGCCUCCCAGGGCAGAGACAGGAAAGUGGAAGAGGGUGGGGAUGGCUGUGGAGGACCAAUGGAAGAUAUCCAACACAAACCAAUUCACAGCUUGUCUGAACUGAUUAAUUAAUGAAAUGAUAUUAAGAGGUUAGUACAUUUCCUGGCAUUUCCCUGCAUUUCCAGUAUUUAAUGAUGUUAGCUAUGACUAUUAGUGCUGCUCUUUUCUAGAUCAAAUGCGAAAGAGUUGCCAAUGUUUUAGGGUGAAGUGCAUGAAGCAGGACCUAACUGGAAGAACAGAGAGUCAUACAUAUGUCCCAACUCAAACCCAUCAUUGAAAGUGAAAGUGGGAUAACGAUGUGUUUGUGCUUCCUUUGUUAUAAAAAGAAAACUGUUUUCUCUCUCUUCUCCUAAGGAAUGCUCAAAUACUUCUUCCAACCCAUCCCACUUCCUGCACUCCUAUUUUCUUUUCUUUGUCAUUUCUGGUAGCAGGUGGACAUGCUAUUAUGAAGAAAAAGAGGUUUAAGCUACUAAUCACUAAAGUAAUGGUUCUCGAAAGAAUAGGUUAUUGGGUUUUGGAGGAGCAGGAAAUGGGGCCUCCACUUGCCAAGACACCAUAUGUGUGGAAUGUAGAGUGUAUGAAGAUGACAGGAGCUCUCAUCAUCAAAGAGGCUGACCCUUUUAGAAACAGCUUGAUCCCUGAUCUUGCUAUUAACAGAUCGUCCACAUGGUCCUUCUUCUGCCAUCAUUUUCUGUGUGAGCAGGAACAAGUCACGUUACCUGGAUUUCUGUAAAUUCUCUGUCUUACCUCACAGGAGUAUUCCCUAGGCUAAAAACAUACAGGAAAGAGGUGAGUCUUUUUGCAUGAGGAAGACAGCCUGCCCUCCUGCUGCCACCUCUCUUUUAUGGGUGGGGAGCCUGGUCUGGAAUGGGCGAAAAGGUUUGAGAAGAUCAGGAUGCAAGGAAGAGAGACCCUGCUGAUAGAUAAACCCAUGAUCCUCAAGGUGAGGGAUGUGGAGGAGCCUGGCUGGAGGACAGCAAGAGGGAGGCGCGCAGAGGUGAAAUGCUUCUGUGGGAGGCAGCUUAGACAAGGGACAAGCACAGGCUUAGAGUUCAUUAGUCAAGGAGGGUUUUGCACCCCAGGUCUACCUCUUACUGAUGGUGUGAGCUUGGAUAAGCUGAGUCACUUCUCUGAGCCUCAGUUUCCUCAUUGGUUAAGGUGGGAUAACAAUAUUUUUCUUGUAGGUUUAUGUGGAUUAAAUGAAAGAAAAUCAUGUAAGCAAAGACCUGCGGGAGCUCGAUAAAUGGCUCUCUGGAAAUCACUUACUUCAUUAUUUUGUUUUCUGUUUUAUAAUCAUCCACAAACACACCAACAAUACGGAGCCAGGAAUAGUUCACAAAGAUUCUCUAGUUUGCUGAACCAAUACCAACAGGAAACAGAAAUAUUUCCCAAUUCUCUUAGACUCAAGUGACUCAACUUCUCUGGAAAUGCCUGGCAGGUUUCCAUCUCCUUCCAUUUGCUCCUGCGGUCUUGAAGUUCCAAGUGGCAGAGCCAGAAUUCAAACCCAUCUGACUCACACAUCUCUGUUCUUCUCUACACUAGCCCUGUUGGCAUUACUAUCUCUGAGGGCAAUACCUUCCCCAUAGUAUGUGUUCAGGAAGUACUUAUUGAACUAACUGGAAUAAACAUCCGGAGCUAUACUUAGAAAGUUUUAUUGUCCUGAACUAUAGACCUUUAUUUGAAGGAAACGGUGAUGUAAUGAAUUUGCGUCCAUGAGGCAGAGGAGAAAGCCAGGUUUAACGCUUUAAAGUCAUUCUGCCGUUAUAUAUAAAGCAAUUGAUGUAGGAUCCUUUUUGCACACACAAUUACCUAAUAUGGUAUAAACACACACAAUCACACCCACAGUACACACACCACACGUUUCCCUUCCCUAGGUAGCUAUCCCUUUCCUGGGAUAGCUUAGGGUGUAAGAUUCCAACACAUCUCUCUGUGUCCUUGUAAGGAAAUUCUAACAACUCACGUUUAGAAUGUUGCCUUUGGUGGGAAGCAGCUCGAGGCUGCACAGAGGAAUGAGAUAAAUGUUAUCCUGGUUGUUGGACUUGACUGUAGUUUAACCCCGAGGUCACUGGGAGGCCAGAGCAGAGCAAGGAAAGGAAUGUUGGCUCCUAACCCAGCUGAGCCUCGGGGCAAGCUCACCUCCCUCCACGGGCCUCCCCACCAGGCAGUGUGACAGUCGGUACCAGCCCUGAGCAAUGCAGCAGCCAUGUUUCUCCCCACUGGAAGGGCGCCCAUCCCCUGGCACGGCAGGCAGGACAGCCCAGGCACCUCCCUGCAGGGCCUCAUUCCUCCUUCCCCACACAGCAAAAGACUCACACAAAAGACACUUUCAGAAACUGGUUACCUAGAUUUGAACUUUUCAACAAGGCUUUUUGUUUUUUUUUUCCCCUUUAAGCUCCAUAGCUAAAAUACCAGAUCCUGCUGUUGCUAAGAUUAAGGAUUUUCUCCCCUCUUUUCUCCCUCGGCUCAGUUUCCGUUGAUUAGGAAAGACCAAGAGACGGAUUACUGUUCCCUUGCCAAAUGGAGAGGGUGCUCGAGCUCCUGAGGCUUGCUGUGGGAUUGGACAUUAUUCAGCCUGGUGCUAAUAGUCCUUAGUUACUCCUCACGCGCUCACAAAAGCCACACGCGUUUGUGUCGGUAACUAAGGCCUACAGAAACCACUCAGCCCUAAAUGCACACAGGAGAACCGUCGCGUUGGAGUAAAAGGUGAUUUCACGUGAAUAUUUACAAGCUGCACGUAUCACAUGCCAUGAUUCACUCAGCUUAUUUUCAUUGCAUGCAUUUUCUUCCCAUUUGCAGUCUUUAUUUAUUACAAAAUUAAGGCUGUUAGCAAAAUAACACAUUUGGGUGGGUUUUCUUUCUCUCUCUCUCUCUUUUUGUUUUUUUCAAUUUUCCUGCUUUCUAAUCUAUUUCUGGGAAAGUGUGCCAAUAUAGCAGCAAAAUUUGUCAUAGCUGCCAAACCCCAGGAAAUUGACUAGGUGUUGAAUGGAACCAAGUCCUUGCCUGGCCCUUACCACUGAGGCCCGAGCACAGUGGCUGUGUGAGCCCUGUGGUUACCAAGCUGCAGCAGCUCCUGUCAGUCACCAGUUAGUGACAGGAAUCACCCAUUUCUCUGACUUUCAAGGUGGAGAUGCAGGUGCCAUGCCUGCUAGAGUGUUCACUGGAUGCUCGUGCUCUGGAGCUAGAGACACUUGGGUUUAGUGCCCAGCACUGCUCUGUGACCUUGGGCAAAUGACUUUAACACUCUGAGCCUCCAUUUCCUCUGAUUCAAAGCGAGCACAAUCCUAGAACCUUCUUCACAGAGUAGGUACCUGUGAAAAUGCUUGAAGUGCGUGUACUCCCUCAGCUUCACACGUGACAAGCUCUAGACAAAUCUUCACACUAAUUACACACGUGUGAUCCUGCCUAGGUGGGGAGGAUGCCGAGGAGAUGCACACCCUGGGGAGGUUAACUCCCUCUCCUAGAGCACACAUCUAAUGCAUUUUAGAGCUUCCUGUCCAAUCCAUGUUUGUUUCAUUCCAAAGCUUAUGAUCUAUUUGCAAUAAAACACAUGUCGCAUAUCUCUUGCUACUUUUUACAAGAGGUAUUUGAAAUCUGGCAAGUUUGAGCUUUUGAGGCCUCGACUUAGAUAUAAAUGAUAAGAACAGGUAAAAAAGACUCACGUUUUCCCAAUGCCAUUGCCUGUGUGGAGAUUAAAUGCAUUUUUUAGAAAUGUUUUGAUUUGGGGCUGAGUUCUAUUUCUGUGAGACCUGCAAUUCCCAGCUCUCUUAAACUUUGCGGCUGCUGUUACGAUCUUGACAACUGGCUUACCCAGAGAUGCAUCACUCAAUCCCAGAGGAACAUCCUCUUCAGUUCUGCAUGUCAUUUUCCAAGAGAAAGAGAGACACAGUGGGCACGGCCAGAGGAGGGCCACCAGGAUGGUGAGGACGUGAGAACAUGCUUGCUGCUGAGAACCAGCCCUGGGCCUAGAGGAAGAGCUGGCCAAAGCAAGGUGGCGUGGAGGAGGGGCAGAAUGAGCCAUGGACCACUCACUUCUCUCAAAGAUGACCUGGAUCAGCCAGUCCAUCUCAUCUGGUCCGUGUAUCAAAGACCUGAGUCAGGGGGCCUCAAGGAAGCCUUUUAGGAGAUUAUCAUAAGGAGAUAAUCAGAGAACCGCACAAAGAUUUUCAAACUCCUGAUUUUAACUGGACACAGGGCCACUCAGCUGGAGACCUCAUUUCUCAGCCUCCCUGGCUUCUGAGUAUGACCAGGCAGCUGAGCUCUGGACAACGGGAUGUGACCAGGAGUGACAUGUGCCAUUUCCAGAUUGUUGCCUAAGGAUUCGUGAAGGAAAGUGCCCUUUGCCCACUCUCUUUCCCAAAGGUUGACUUGCAGUUGUGAUGAUGGGAGCUGGAAGAUACUCCUGGGACCCAGAGACUGUUGAGGAAGCAGGCGUCAUCUAUGUUGAUGAAACUCCUGCCAAGGGUGAACUAGGUGAACCAGGGAGGCUCAAGUGACCCAGGAGCUGCUGUAUAUUCAAGGGACACUCAUUGGAAGGUCACUGAUCAGGUGCUCAGGUGGGCAAAUUGGAAACGUCACACACUCAGUCAGUCGCAAUGUCAUGCCGCGCCAAAUCUUCAUACUCCUAGCCUGGCACCAUAUUGCUUAGAUUAGCUGUGGCAUUGUGGGCACUACAAGUGUCAUGAGAAGCUAAAGGAAGAAGGACUAUCACAGGAGUGUAGGUUGGUACACAUAAAGUGUGAAUCAACUCGGGCUAUUGAUUUUGGGUCGUUUCUCCUUCGGGUGAUGUCUACUGAUUCUAGGUUCUAUUUCCCUUCUUUUAUGGGUUGAAUUGUGACCCUCCUCCCCACCCCCAUUCUUAUGUUGAAAUCCUCACCCUCAUUACCUCACAAUGUGACCUGACUCUGCAAAAGGGUCUUUGCAGCUAUAGCGAAGUUAAGAUGAGGUCAUUAGGGCUGGCUCUAAUCCAACAUGACUGGUGUCCUUAUAAGAAGACACAUAGACACAUACAGAGAAGAUGGCCAUGUGACAACGGAGGCAGAGAUUGAAGUGCUGUAGCUGCAAGCCAAGGAUCGCCCAAGAUUAUCAGCAAAUCACCAGAAGCUAGGAAGAGGCAAGGAAGGAUUCCCUCACCUGAGCCAUCAGAGAGCAUGGCCCUGCUGCCAUCUUGGUUUCAGACCUGCAUCCUCAAGAACUGUGAGAGAACAAAUUUCUGUGGUUUUAAGCCACCCAGGUGGUACGUUGUCAUGGCAGCCCUAGGAGGCAAACACACUCUUUCUGGGCAGCCUGCCUCUGCAGAAAUGGCCGAAGCAGGCAGAGCUGUCCAAGCAGCAGGCAUCUAUAGGGUUCUGUCCCCUUACACAGGGCUCUGGGAAUGAGCAGCUGGCCAGGCUGGAGCCCUAACUUAUAGAGUUUCCUUUAGCAUUAAAGCCAGAACGGACCAGGCAAGAAAAAUGGAAAGAUUUACUACUUAAUACUGACUCCUACCAGGGCUAUGGGGGAAAGAAACAAAUCAGCGGUACCUGGAAGACCUUCCUGGGAGGCUAAGCCCAAGCCCAUGUGUCAUUCUCCAUGUUCCGUUCUACAGUAUCAUUCUUUUUCUGGGACAAAACCCUUCCCAAAUUCGUACUCAGACUUCCUGAUCAGGCAGAGCUAACUAGACAAACGUGAACAUCAGCGCCAAUAAAAU